GCCUUGAAAAUUUUACAGCUUGUCUUUGAGUCCAGUCGUGUCAUGUUAGAUGAUUGUCAUUAUUGUCCCUCCUUUAUAAUGAAUAUCAUCUCUGUAGGUCUUUUGGCCAAACUUGGUUACAAGUUUAUAAUAAAGGAUGAUUUUUGUGAUAUCAUUAUGAAUGAUACUACAAUUAUGCGUGGAUAAUUAAAACAUAGCAUAUAC
rnacentral:lncRNA from 1 species